AAUAUUGCGCAAUGGAGGGAACUCUGACGCAGCGACGCCGCGUGAGCGAUGAAGGUCUUCGGAUCGUAAAGCUCUGUCCUUGGGGAAGAAGGGAGCCGUAAGGCUUCUUGACGGUACCCAUGGAGGAAGCCCCGGCUAACUACGUGCCAGCAGCCGCGGUAAUACGUAGGGGGCAAGCGUUGUCCGGAAUUAUUGGGCGUAAAGGGUGCGUAGGCGGCCCUUUAAGUCAGAUGUGAAAGACCACGGCUUAACCGUGGGGUUGCAUUUGAAACUGGAGGGCUUGAGUAUCGGAGAGAGUAGUGGAAUUCCCAGUGUAGCGGUGGAAUGCGUAGAUAUUGGGAGGAACACCAGUGGCGAAGGCGACUACCUGGACGAAAACUGACGCUGAGGCACGAAAGCUAGGGGAGCAAACA
rnacentral:rRNA from 1 species